AUUUUUAUAUUGAAAAUUGUUCCUCCCUAAUGUUGAUGUAAUAAAUUUUUAUAUUGAAAAUUGUCCAUUUGCUGACUGCUAAGAAUUACAGGUUUGUUUGAAGGUUAUUUUUGCAAGACAGUGCAAUAGACUCUGAUGUGUUUUGUUAAUUUACAAGGCCCUUUUUUCAAUUUAUACCUUCCAAGUUACAUUUAAGGUAACAGAACAAGUUGGUAACAAUUAGGAAUAUUCACACAAUCUUUGUUUUGCACAUGCAAAUAAGGUUGUCUUGUGAAGGUGGUCAAUUAGAGAAAUUGUCAAAUACGAUUCCCUUAACUAGAUUAUUGAACGGAAACAGUCCCCCUCUUUGUAGCAGCAGGGCAUAGGGCAUUAUGUCCAUCUCUUUCCAAGAAUCCCAUUUGUUAAUUAUGAAGGUCUGUAUUUAGGCCAGAAUCUAAAAUUCCAUUUGCUGGCUCUACAAUGGACUUGCAGUAUUUUCGUUAGAGUUUGACACCGUGGUACCUCUCUCUGUUUGCAGGAGGCAGAUGCUGAGCCCUUACUGUGACACGCUCAGAAGUAAUCCACUGCAGUUAACUUGCAGACAGGACCAGAGAGCAGUUGCAGUGUGUAAUUUGCAGAAGUUUCCUAAGCCUUUACCACAGGAAUACCAGUACUUUGAUGAACUCACUGGAACACCUGCAGAAGAUUUGCCUUAUUAUGGUGGAUCAGUGGAAAUUGCUGACUAUUGCCCUUUCAGUCAGGAAUUCAGUUGGCAUUUAAGUGGUGAAUAUCAGCGCAACUCAGACUGUAGAAUAUUGGAAAAUCAACCAGAAAUUUUUAAGAACUAUGGUGCUGAAAAGUAUGGACCUCAUUCAGUUUGUCAAAUUCAGAAAUCAGCAUUUGUUAUGGAAAAGUGUGAGAGGAAGCUGAGCUACCCUGACUGGGGCAGCGGAUGUUAUCAGGUAAGCUUAUAUGUUUGUUAUU